GAUGAAGAACGUAGCGAAAUGCGAUAAGUAAUGUGAAUUGCAGAAUUCAGUGAAUCAUCGAAUCUUUGAACGCACAUUGCGCCCUUUGGUAUUCCGAAGGGCAUGCCUGUUCGAGCGUCAUUUCACCACUCAAGCCUGGCUUGGUAUUGGGCGCCGCGGUCGAUCCGCGCGCCUCAAAGUCUCCGGCUGAGCUGUCCGUCUCUAAGCGUUGUGAUUUCAUUAAUCGCUUCGGAGUGCGGGCGGCCGCGGCCGUUAAAUCUUUCACAAGGUUGACCUCGGAUCAGGUAGGGAUACCCGCUGAACUUAAGCAUAUCAUAAGCGGAGGA
rnacentral:misc_RNA from 1 species